rnacentral:rRNA from 1 species
UACGAAGGGGGCUAGCGUUGUUCGGAAUUACUGGGCGUAAAGCGCGCGCAGGCGGUUUCUCAAGUCAGUGGUGAAAGCCCGGAGCUCAACUCCGGAACUGCCAUUGAAACUGUGAGACUUGAGGACGAGAGAGGUGAGUGGAAUUCCCAGUGUAGAGGUGAAAUUCGUAGAUAUUGGGAAGAACACCGGUGGCGAAGGCGGCUCACUGGACGGUGACUGACGCUGAGACGCGAAAGCGUGGGGAGCAAACAGG